rnacentral:rRNA from 1 species
UGUCUACCUCUUCCCAUUCCGAACAGAGAAGUCAAGCCCGCCAGAGCCGAUGGUAUUGCCGUAACAGGUGGGAGAGUAGGUCGGUGCCUUUU